rnacentral:rRNA from 1 species
UUAAGUCUUUAUUUUUGUAUUGUAAUAGACUACGUUUUAAUAAGCUAUAUGUAAAUAUAGUGCUUAGGCGGAGCUUAUUAACACACAAAUUAAAGAUUAAAUUAGUAUUGAAUGAAACUUUGUUUAUAUAUCGAUAAUGACGAUAUAUAUAUUAUGUCUUGACCAAUUACGUGCCAGCAGUCGCGGUAAUACGUAAGAGACUAGUGUUAUUCAUCUUAAUUAGGUUUAAAGGGUACUCAAACGGUCUGUUUUGCACAAAAGACUAGAGUUAUAUAGAAGAAGGUAGUACCUUAAGUGUAGAGAUAAAAUUUUGUUAUACUGGAGGGACUUAGAAAAGGCGUAGGCAACCUUCUAAGUAAUAACUGACGUUGUAGGACGAAGGCAUAGGUCACGAACAGGACUAGUAACCCAAGUAGUCUUUGCAGUCAAUGAUGAAUGCCAUAGGUUAGAUAAAAAUUUAGUCUAUAAAUGAAAAUGUAAGCAUUUCACCUCAAGAGUAAUGUGGCAACGCAGGAACUGAAAU